rnacentral:lncRNA from 1 species
ACACUUGGAGAUGCCACCGAGGGAGGGACUGUUGGUUGGAGGGACGGAAAGGACUGUUGGCAGGUGAGGGAGGCGUCGAAGGCAGCCGGGGAGAGGAGAUUCGCCGGUCAGUGGUGGAGCGGAGGCUGGUUCAUCCGGUGGCGGAGGCUAGUUCGUCCGGUGGCGGAGGCUGGUGGCGCUGAAGACCAAGAGCCCACCGGUAAUCACAUCCGACGAGGCUUGUCGACGGGAGAGGAGGAUGGAGGCAGCGGAGCAGCGG